rnacentral:rRNA from 1 species
AGCUUCCAUACGGCGAAACUGCGAAUGGCUCAUUAAAACAGUUAUAGUUUAUUUGAUGGUCUUUCAUUACAUGGAUAACUGUGGUAAUUCUAGAGCUAAUACAUGCGCUGAAGCCCAACUUCGUGGACGGGCUGUGUUUAUUAGAUACAGAACUAACCCAGGCUCUGCCUGGCCUCUUGGUGAUUCAUAAUAACCGAACGGAUCGCACGGCUCCAGCUGGCGAUGAAUCAUUCAAGUUUCUGACCUAUCAGCUUCCGACGGUAGGGUAUUGGCCUACCGUGGCAAUGACGGGUAACGGAGAAUUAGGGUUCGAUUCCGGAGAGGGAGCCUGAGAAACGGGUACCACAUCUAAGGAAGGC